AAUGCCUCAGACCAUCAUGGGCAUCAAGAUGGAAUCACAGACACAGGCCUUCAUAUUCGUUUUGCUCUGGUUGUCUGGUGUUGAUGGAGACAUUGUGAUGACCCAGACACAAAACUCCAUGUCCACAUCAGUAGGAGACAGGGUCACCAUGAACAGAAAGGCCAGUCAGAAUGCACGUACUGAUGUGAAUUGGUACCAAGACAAACCAGGGCAGUCUCCUAAAUUGCUUAUCUACUGGGCAUCCAUCCGGCACACUGGGGUCCCAGAUCGCUUCACAGGCAGUGGAUCUGGGACAGAUUUCACUCUCACCAUCAGCAGUGUGCAGGCUGAAGACCUGGCAGUUUAUUACUGUCAGCAAUACUACAGCUCUCCUCCCAUAGUACUUCAGCCUCCUACACAAAUGUCCUCUGAGAUACUAACCAUCUUCCUGCACCACACAUCCCCAGACCUACACACCUCCCCUUCUGCCUGUAGUUUCUAUGCCGAACUGUUGACAAGAUUGGCAGAAGAUUAAU